rnacentral:rRNA from 1 species
GAUGAACGCUAGCGGCAGGCUUAACACGUGCAAGUCGAGGGGUAUAGUUCUUCGGAAUUAGAGACCGGCGCACGGGUGCGUAACGCGUAUGCAAUCUACCUUUCACAGAGGGAUAGCCCAGAGAAAUUUGGAUUAAUACCUCAUAGUAUAGCAGUUUCGCAUGAAACCACUAUUAAAGUCACAACGGUGAAAGAUGAGCAUGCGUCCCAUUAGCUAGUUGGUAAGGUAACGGCUUACCAAGGCAACGAUGGGUAGGGGUCCUGAGAGGGAGAUCCCCCANACUGGUACUGAGACACGGACCAGACCUCGUACGGGAGGCAGCAGUGGGGAAUUUGGACAAUGGGCGCAAGCCUGAUCCAG